CCUACGGGUGGCAGCAGUAGGGAAUCUUUCACAAUGGGCGAAAGCCUGAUGGAGCCACGCCGCGUGCCGGAUGAAGGCCUUCGGGUUGUAAACUGCUUUUAUAAGCGAGAACUAUGAUGGUACCUUCUGAAUAUGGAUCGGCUCACUACGUGACAGCUGCCGCGGUCAUACGUAGGAUCCGAGCCUCAUCCGGAGUGACUGGGCGGUAAUAGUUUCGUCGGGGGCUAAAGAAGUGGCUAGUGGAAUCUGGUGGCUCAACCAUUCAGACUAUUAGCUACAAUGGUAAGCUCGAGACCGUUAGAGGUAACUGGAAUUUGUAGUGUAGCGGUGAAAUCCGUAGAUAUUAGGAGGAACACCGAUAGCGUAGGCAGGUUACUGGGACGGAUCUGACACUAAGGCACGAAAGCGUAGGGAGCAAACGGGAUUAGAUACCCCUGUAGUC
rnacentral:rRNA from 1 species